UUCCCCAUCCUCAACCAUUCGAUUCGAAUCGAGAACUCCUCCCUCGACCUUUCCAUCCUCAACAAUCUUCUCCUUGUCCUUCAUGAUGUGUCGAUGGCGGUGAUGGCGGUGAUGGUGAUGGCAGUGAUUAUGGUGUUUUCGCCGCUUCGCAUCGCCCUCCGCCGCCUCCGGCGACGGCGAUCGGUGCUUCUUUAAUGAUGGAGUCUGGAGAGGCUCUUGAUCUUCGAUUUCCAUGGCGAAUAUUGAAAAUUUUAUGGUUAGGGUUUGUGAAGGGCGCUAUCAGUAUCGCUCUUUUAGGGCUUUUUCCGAGGCUGAGAUCUAUCGAGGAUUUAGCGAAACGACGAUUGAGAGAAAUUAGCAGCAUCCUCUGUUUCCAAUCCUUAAAUAAUGCGUCCUUGGCCAUCAGAAGACGUUCUUGCUUACUUUUGUAUAAAGCAUUCAGAUAUUUUUAGGUAUACUAUGAAUAUGACCUUACAUUUCGACAGUGCUUAAAUUUUUAUUUCUGAUUUAUUUUUUUAAUCAACUAUUCUUGACUACUAUCGGCUACUUUCAUCUAAGAUGAGGAUGUCAUUUAUUGUUCAGUUCUUCUUCUCGUGCACUCUUGUGUGCACAUAUAAAGGAGCCUACGAUGAAUAACAGGAGUAUGAAAAAAAUAUAUGAAAAAUUAUAAGGCAAUUGUUCCCAUCAGAUGCAUUACCCAUAGCAAAAGGAACAAACUUCAGCUUCUAGAGAUGGUUAGUUGCAUAGUACAAAUUAACAAGACGAAAAUGGCAUAUCUUUUUGCUUGCAUGGUCCCCUCCGUGCCUGCGUGUGUGCGAAUUGGUUCAAUGGAUUCUUUAACCGUUUGAACUGGGAUAUUAGGCUCAGAAUCCUCUUCAAAUCCCAUUUCCCCAUUAAUUUUCUCUCUGUCAACAUCGAAAGGUUCCAUUUUCUUUACUGCUUCAAUAUUCUUCUCCUCUUCCCACUCCUCAAGAUUAGAUUUUGAACACUCCUCUACCAAAUCCAUAUCAAUUCAAUCUAUAGAUUAUAAGAUCCCCAAACUUGAUCCCAAAUUAUCAUCAAUAGCAACAAAUUCUUCAGGAAAAGUUUGAAUUUGGAGAUUGGAUGACGAAUUUGGAGGAAAAAGCGUAGCUGUAACAGGAGGAAAUUUGUGGUCCAGUUCUCCUCUGCAUGCAGGCUGAAAGUCUAGAAGAGGCUAUCCAUAUUGUUAACAACAAUAGGUAUAGUAAUGGAGCGUCUAUAUUUACAAUGUCCGGUAUAUCUGCCAGGAAAUUCCAAACAAAGAUAGAAGCUGGCCAGGUAAAUCAUUAAAUUUGCAGGCAAAUUUAAAAGUUACAUGUUACUAUGUUAGUCAUAAGAGCUCUCUUGUGAGGGCAGUAUCGGAAGAAAUUACAUAUUAAGACUUUUUUAGUAUCCUCAUUACAUUAGUUGGAAACUAAAAGGAAAUGACAGAAUGAAUGAAUGGAAAGAGCGAGAAGAAAAUUAGUUUUUCACUAGGAGAUUUUCCACGUGAUUUAAAUAAACUAAUAUUGUGUUCAUUGCAUACAUAUUUAGUUACCUAUUUUGACCUCACAAGAGAUUGGAUGACGAAUUUUGAGGAAAAAGAGUACCUGUAACUGAUUAUUUUAAAGUUCGAAUUUGGAGAUUGGCUGACGAAUUUGGAGGAAAAAGCGUACCUGUAACUGAUUAUUCC